UAAAGAGAGGUAAGUGAGACAGAGGAUUCGGUAGCUGAGACCUUGCCCCUUUAUACCUGGCUCUGGACAGAGUGAGGAGAGCACUCACCUCCCCUGAAGGAUUUGAGUAGUCUUGAUAAAGAUACCGCACAGAGAAGUCUCAAGGGCGGGAGAAGGCUAGAGGCAAAAUAGCUUGGCUCCUUAGUUUAGGGUGAUGCUUUGGGCCAUGAGUGCCAAACUAGAAAUACCAGUAAGGACUAUGUUGUUCACUGGCUGCAGAACAAGGUGUUUCUUAGAUGAUACCUCACAAUUUAUUCACAUCCAUAAGUGUAUUUUUUUUAAUAUCCUAUCCAUUUACAUGACCCCAUUAGCUUAUAAUUGAGUUCAAGUUUCAAGGUAACAUCUGCAUAAAGCAGUUAUAUCCUAUCACUCAGAGACACAGGAGGCAAUGAGGCUUAGGCCUGUGCCUGCCAUACAGUAUCCCAGCCCUAAAAACAACAACAA